CACCCGGUGUAUUAUGUAUAUGUGUUAUAGUAGACGUCGCGUGUUUCCGGUUGUGGAGAAAUGAAUUAGAGGCGGGAGAUAUAUAUAUAUAUAUAUAUAUAUAUGAGUGGUGGUAGUAGUAGUAGUGCUGGUGGUGCGGACCGGAGCAAGUGUCAAAGCUUUGUUUGGGUUAGUGCAAAUGAGGGGAUGGUGCUUGCGCGCCGCGACGACUAGAAAUGCCGAACGUGACUAGUCGGGUUCGCGGUUUUCAGCGAAGUCACGUUCCCGCAUUUAACUCCUAACGAUGUAUGCGGAAGACGUAUGAUUAUGUUUCUUUAUGCAAAGUGCGCCAAGUACACCGUCCAGCGAUCAAAUCGGAUCAUUAGAGGCUGCUUUAAAGAUACCUAAUGAUGAAGAACACGUUUGAAAGAAACGCGAUGUACCUCGCAUUAUAAAAGAAAAAUGUAUUAGUAAUUGUGAAUAAUAAAUCGAUAUGUAAAAAAUAGCGAUAUAAAUGAUAACACAAGUAUAAAAAGAAAUGAAAAAAUUCUCUAUGCAAAGUGUGUCAAGUAUGCUGUCCAGCGAUAAAAUCAGAUCAUUAGAAGCUGCUAGUAUCACAAUAGACAUUUUUAAAGAUACCUAAUAAUGGAGAAACACGUUUGAAAGAAACGCGAUGUAUAUUAUAAAAUAAAAAUGCAUUAAUAAUAAUUGUAAAUAAAUGGAUACAUAAAAAAUAGCGACACAAAUGAUAACGCAAGUAUAAAAAAAAUCAGAGGAAGCUUCUUCGUGCAUCUCGAG